rnacentral:lncRNA from 1 species
AUUGACCUCUUCUUCCCCAGUCACUCUUCAUUGUAAAAAAAACGCUUUCAUAAAAAAGCAAAUAGUAAGUAUAGACAAAGGAAAAGUGAUUCCAUUGUUAUAAACCACUGAUAUGUGAACUAAAUUUAAAACUUUUUAUAUGUCUUGGGUACAAUGUAAGGAAAUGUGCACUAUAAAUCUUAUUCUAAUGACUUCUGGUGAGAUUUAUAAAACUGUCUUUCCUCCGGACAAGUGAAAAUUGCUGAAAUACACUUUAUAUACUUUAAUCUUUAUAUUUUUAUGGCUGGUUUAAAAAUAAAAAGCAGAAGCCAAGGUGGGGGCAGGAUGGCCGACUAGACGCAGCCAGGUGGAAAAGCUCCCACUGAGGUACUGAGACAACUGGCAUGCUCCUGACAGAUUUUCAGAGAGAAGGCACUAAAAGUGGAUGGAAAGAAGACACAGAGGCUGGGCUGAAGUGGGAGGAAGCUGGGAAUCCUGCACAGGGCUACUGCACACUGGGACCUGCUCCGAGUUCAGCUCUGGAGGAAUGGCAAUCAAACACCAAAAGGUGCUGCAGACAGAGCCACACAUGGACACACCAUUCUUCUGAGAACCCUUGGACCAACAUCAGAAGGAGCCCCAACUGCUGUCCCCCCACACCACACCCCUUUUUAGCAGGAAGUAACCAGAAAGAAUCAUCAUCCAACACCCCCAACAGCAGUUAGAAUAAAAUCUCCUGAAGGGGGGAAUAAUACAGGAGUUAUUAAGAAAUGAUUUUUAGGCAGCUAGAAAGGGUAAAAGUUCUCAGUGGAGAUUCCACCGAGACUUUAUGUUCUGGAAAAGAGAUUCCAGAAAGUAAUUCAGCCUUGCUGACACCUUAAUUUUAACCCAGUGAGACCUGUGUUGGAUUUCUGACCUGCAGAACCAGAAGAUAAUAAAUUUGCGUUUUUUAAGCCUCUAAACUUAUGAUGAUUUGUUACAGUAGCAAUAGAAACCAACGAAGAAGUGUAGUAGUGCAUUUUAAACAUGUAAUUGAAUUGUAAAGACAAUACAUUUAGAAAAUUGAUUCAGGAAGAAAAUUAUAUUUCAAUUCUGAUUAUUCACAACACACACGUACACACAAACACAUACUAGCAAUCUCCUUCAGACAAAACACU